GUAGGGACCAAGCGUUGUUCGGAUUUACUGGGCGUAAAGGGCGCGUAGGCGGCGUGACAAGUCACUUGUGAAAUCUCCGGGCUUAACUCGGAACGGCCAAGUGAAACUGUCAUGCUAGAGUGCAGAAGGGGCAAUCGGAAUUCUUGGUGUAGCGGUGAAAUGCGUAGAUAUCAAGAGGAACACCUGAGGUGAAGACGGGUUGCUGGGCUGACACUGACGCUGAGGCGCGAAAGCCAGGGGAGCAAACGGGAUUAGAUACCCCGGUAGUCCUGGCCCUAAACGAUGAAUACUUGGUGUCUGGAGUCAUUAAUGCACCGGGUGCCGUCGCUAACGUUUUUAGUAUUCCGCCUGGGGAGUACGCUCGCAAGAGUG
rnacentral:rRNA from 1 species